rnacentral:rRNA from 1 species
UACGUAGGGCGCAAGCGUUGUCCGGAAUUAUUGGGCGUAAAGAGCUCGUAGGCGGUUUGUCGCGUCGGAUGUGAAAGCCCGGGGCUUAACCCCGGGUCUGCAUUCGAUACGGGCAGACUGGAGUGUGGUAGGGGAGAUCGGAAUUCCUGGUGUAGCGGUGAAAUGCGCAGAUAUCAGGAGGAACACCGGUGGCGAAGGCGGAUCUCUGGGCCAUUACUGACGCUGAGGCGCGAAAGCUGGGGGAGCGAACGGG